rnacentral:rRNA from 1 species
AUUGAACGCUGGCGGAAUGCUUUACACAUGCAAGUCGAACGGCAGCACGGGGGCAACCCUGGUGGCGAGUGGCGAACGGGUGAGUAAUAUAUCGGAACGUGCCCAGUCGUGGGGGAUAACGUAGCGAAAGUUACGCUAAUACCGCAUACGAUCUACGGAUGAAAGCGGGGGAUCGCAAGACCUCGCGCGAUUGGAGCGGCCGAUAUCAGAUUAGGUAGUUGGUGGGGUAAAGGCUCACCAAGCCAACGAUCUGUAGCUGGUCUGAGAGGACGACCAGCCACACUGGGACUGAGACACGGCCCAGACUCCUACGGGAGGCAGCAGUGGGGAAUUUUGGACAAUGGGCGAAAGCCUGAUCCAGCCAUUCCGCGUGCAGGACGAAGGCCUUCGGGUUGUAAACUGCUUUUGUACGGAACGAAAAAGCCUUGGCUAAUACCCAGGGUCCAUGACGGUACCGUAAGAAUAAGCACCGGCUAACUACGUGCCAGCAGCCGCGGUAAUACGUAGGGUGCAAGCGUUAAUCGGAAUUACUGGGCGUAAAGCGUGCGCAGGCGGUUAUAUAAGACAGAUGUGAAAUCCCCGGGCUCAACCUGGGAACUGCAUUUGUGACUGUAUAGCUAGAGUGCGGCAGAGGGGGAUGGAAUUCCGCGUGUAGCAGUGAAAUGCGUAGAUAUGCGGAGGAACACCGAUGGCGAAGGCAAUCCCCUGGGCCUGCACUGACG